GACAGAGGGUGCAAACGUUGUUCGGAGUUACUGGGCGUAAAGCGAGUGUAGGCGGUUUGGUAAGUCGGAUGUGAAAGCCCCGGGCUCAACCCGGGAAGUGCACUCGAUACUACCAAGCUAGAGUAUCGGAGAGGUUGGUGGAAUUCUCGGUGUAGAGGUGAAAUUCGUAGAUAUCGAGAGGAACACCGGUGGCGAAGGCGGCCAACUGGACGAACACUGACGCUGAGACUCGAAAGCGUGGGGAGCAAACAGG
rnacentral:rRNA from 1 species